rnacentral:rRNA from 1 species
GUCGAGGGGUAUUGGUUUUCGGACGAGAGACCGGCGCACGGGUGCGUAACGCGUAUGCAAUCUACCUUUUGCAGAGGGAUAGCCCAGAGAAAUUUGGAUUAAUACCUCAUAGUAUUAUGAUAUGGCAUCAUAUUAUAAUUAAAGUCACAACGGCAAAAGAUGAGCAUGCGUCCCAUUAGCUAGUUGGUAAGGUAACGGCUUACCAAGGCAACGAUGGGUAGGGGUCCUGAGAGGGAGAUCCCCCACACUGGUACUGAGACACGGACCAGACUCCUACGGGAGGCAGCAGUGAGGAAUAUUGGACAAUGGGCGCAAGCCUGAUCCAGCCAUGCCGCGUGCAGGAUGACGGUCCUAUGGAUUGUAAACUGCUUUUGUACGAGAAGAAACACUCCUACGUGUAGGAGCUUGACGGUAUCGUAAGAAUAAGGAUCGGCUAACUCCGUGCCAGCAGCCGCGGUAAUACGGAGGAUCCAAGCGUUAUCCGGAAUCAUUGGGUUUAAAGGGUCCGUAGGCGGUUUAGUAAGUCAGUGGUGAAAGCCCAUCGCUCAACGGUGGAACGGCCAUUGAUACUGCUAGACUUGAAUUAUUAGGAAGUAACUAGAAUAUGUAGUGUAGCGGUGAAAUGCUUAGAGAUUACAUGGAAUACCAAUUUGCGAAGGCAGGUUACUACUAAUGGAUUGACGCUGAUGGACGAAAGCGUGGGUAGCGAACAGGAUUAGAUACCCUGGUAGUCCACGCCGUAAACGAUG